rnacentral:tRNA from 1 species
GCUGCGCUGGCUGAGUGGUUAAGGCGUUGGAUUUAAUCCAACAGGGUUUCUCCGCGCCGGUUAGAAUCCCGUUCGUAGCU